rnacentral:rRNA from 2 species
CAGUCGAGCGAACAGAAGGGAGCUUGCUCCCGGAUGUUAGCGGCGGACGGGUGAGUAACACGUGGGUAACCUGCCUGUAAGACUGGGAUAACUCCGGGAAACCGGAGCUAAUACCGGAUAGUUCCUUGAACCGCAUGGUUCAAGGAUGAAAGACGGUUUCGGCUGUCACUUACAGAUGGACCCGCGGCGCAUUAGCUAGUUGGUGGGGUAAUGGCUCACCAAGGCGACGAUGCGUAGCCGACCUGAGAGGGUGAUCGGCCACACUGGGACUGAGACACGGCCCAGACUCCUACGGGAGGCAGCAGUAGGGAAUCUUCCGCAAUGGACGAAAGUCUGACGGAGCAACGCCGCGUGAGUGAUGAAGGUUUUCGGAUCGUAAAGCUCUGUUGUUAGGGAAGAACAAGUGCGAGAGUAACUGCUCGCACCUUGACGGUACCUAACCAGAAAGCCACGGCUAACUACGUGCCAGCAGCCGCGGUAAUACGUAGGUGGCAAGCGUUGUCCGGAAUUAUUGGGCGUAAAGGGCUCGCAGGCGGUUUCUUAAGUCUGAUGUGAAAGCCCCCGGCUCAACCGGGGAGGGUCAUUGGAAACUGGGAAACUUGAGUGCAGAAGAGGAGAGUGGAAUUCCACGUGUAGCGGUGAAAUGCGUAGAGAUGUGGAGGAACACCAGUGGCGAAGGCGACUCUCUGGUCUGUAACUGACGCUGAGGAGCGAAAGCGUGGGGAGCGAACAGGAUUAGAUACCCUGGUAGUCCACGCCGUAAACGAUGAGUGCUAAGUGUUAGGGGGUUUCCGCCCCUUAGUGCUGCAGCUAACGCAUUAAGCACUCCGCCUGGGGAGUACGGUCGCAAGACUGAAACUCAAAGGAAUUGACGGGGGCCCGCACAAGCGGUGGAGCAUGUGGUUUAAUUCGAAGCAACGCGAAGAACCUUACCAGGUCUUGACAUCCUCUGACAACCCUAGAGAUAGGGCUUUCCCUUCGGGGACAGAGUGACAGGUGGUGCAUGGUUGUCGUCAGCUCG